rnacentral:lncRNA from 1 species
AUGUGGACCUCUGGAAGUUAUGGAUUUAAAAUCUGAGUGGCAGAUCUUCCGGAUCGAUCUACGUAGUGACGUAUUUUAUAUAAGUUAUAUAUUCUAUCGAUAUGAAUUCUGAGGUUGGAUUUGAUUACUGUUCUAGGCGGCGAUCGUCAUGACGCCUUGAUGUGUGGUGCUAGGGAGUUGUUGGACGAACUCCAGGUGAGUGGGCAGUUUUGUUUUCCGUAUACAUAUAUAAUUGACGUUUCCCAGAAAUUGAAAAUGUUACGAAAGUAUGCUUUAAAUGCAAAGUAUAAAAGUAUGUUUUCAAAUGCCAUGAGUAGAUUAUAUGAAAGAUAUGAUUUGAGAUAUAUUAGUUGAAAUACCAUGCUUAGAAGUAUGUGAAAAGUAUAUAGAAAUGUGAAUCGAAAUGCCAUGCAUGAAAUGAUAUGAAAAGUAUGAAUUGAGAUAUGAUGCAUAUGUAUGAAUUGGUGCUGUGGACGCACAGGUGAGUAUCAGGUGAGUAUAUUACUGCUAUGAUGAUGUUGAGAUAUAUUGAGCUCAUAACCUGCACCUUGGUAUUAGUGCUUAUUAUUAUUCACCGCAUCGCAUGCUCACCUUGGAUCCAAGUAGAUGCUAGUCGUACAGACCACCGGGGGUGGUUCCGACAUGCCAGUCGUACAGACCAUUAGAGGGGUUCCGACUGGUAGGUGACCUUAGAUUAUGUGCACAGAUGAUUGAUGAGAAAAGCACUAGAGCAUAUUAUUACACCAUUAAGUCGUACAGAUUACAUUAGGUAAUUCCGACUUAUGUGCAGUGUAGUGCCGUACAGGUCAUACUAGGUGACUCCGGCAUGGCCGAACAGGUCACAGUUGGUGACUCCGGUUAUAUGAGAUUUUGAGCUCUACAUUCAGCCGUACAGGACCAUUGUAGGGUCUCCGGUUGAUUUCUUUCUUGCACCUGAUAUGAUUAUUGCUGAUGCAUUCAUACUUAACUGUUGAAUUUAGACAUGGCAUGGCAUGAUUGAUAAAGAUAAAUGUUGAGAUAGUAAAAAUGAAGUUUUGAUAAUAUAUAUGUAUAUUUAUAUUUUACAUUUCUGGGAAAGUAUACAGGUUUUACGGAGAGGGGUUACAACGUUUUGAGAAAUGUUUGGAUUUGGAAAAGAAUUGUUUUACUGACCCACUCAAUUUUGGUUUUGCGCCCCUCCAGGUUCAUGAAUCACAAAGGUGUGGUGACUACGAGGAAUUCGACGGUGUUCUGACAGAUUGGACAAAAUUAGGACUCACUUUCGGGUGUAUCAACUUAGGAAUUGUAUCUUAAAGCUUCCGUACUGUGCAAAUGGUUACGUCACUCUCACGUGACGGCCAGCAUGCCCUCCUUCGGGACGGGGUGUGUCAGUUGGUAUCAGAGCAUGGUUGCAAUCUUGGACAUUUUGAGAAGUUCUAGUGAAUUCUGUCAGAACUACACCGCCUCGUAGCAAGCCACUUAGUUAGAGGAAUUUAGUCUCCCUAAUAUAACGGUUUAGGGGAAACUAUUAUUAUGGUGAUUCAGUCUAUUAUAAAAAGGGACAUUUUAAGAUGGGUUAUGAGUUGAAUUUGAAUCACUUAAGAGAAAUGAUGAACCUGAGGGAGCGAAGUAACGGUUUAACCAUUUGGAAAAGAUGUUUCGGAUUAUGCAAGUCAAAGGAAUCUUCCUUCUGACAAGGGGUCGAGAUGACUACCUGGUUUGAGUUAUGAACGUGUAUCCUGAUGGAAGCAGGAGUAUUAAUUGUUGUCAUCGGAGGAACAGCCGAUUUAAAAUUGUUUAAGGACUUGUUUAAGGAAAAGUUUAUCCCUCCGGCAUUUAUCGAUGGUAGUAAACAAGAGUUUACAAAUAUGAGACAAGGAAGGUGAUGAUCGAGGGAUAUUAUAGAAAGUUUUCAGACUUGCCUUGUUCCAUCCAGAUAUUGUUGUUAUUGGUGGAGGUGUUAUGUUGUUUUAAGCUGGGUGGCAAAAAGGGAAGUGGUAUUUUGGGUGACCACUAUCCAUUGUAGUUCUUAUCAGGAGUAUGCUAGAUGUUGUUGAGUCUUGAGGACUCUGAGAACAUGAGCAACGAGAAUAAAGAAGAAUAAGAAAUGAAUGGGAAUUUAAAGAAGACGAUAAAGUUAAUGAUUCGUCAUAUCAAGGAGAUAGAAAGAUUCAGAGCUUCGAAAGAAGUGAAGCUAGAGUUAAUUCUUCCAGCUGAGGUUUUAAUGUCGCUGGUCAGAGUAAAAGUGAUGGAUAUACUGGUAAUCCCAGAUAUUUGAGACAAGGUGUCUCGAGUAAAGGAAAUGUACUUUGUGCAGCAGGUACAAAAUUAACACUUUGGGAAAUGUGAAAUUAAUGAAUGUGUUUAUGUAAACAGAGGGGACACAUAAUUGUGAAUCGUCCCUAAAAUCAGUUGUACUCAACAAUUUUCCAUGAUAUCAUAGUGUCAAUUCAGCAGAGUUAUGGACUUAGUAGUUUGGUUGGAUUGACCAUGAGUACCGAGAGAUUUGAUGAGUUAUAUGUUCAGCCGUACAGGCCAAAAGAGGUGGAUCCGGCUGACACAUGAGAAAUUGGUGAGUUAUAGGCUCGGCUGUACGGACCACAAGAUGUGGAUCCGGCCGACGUAUUUACUGGGGAAUUGAUGUGUAAGUCGUACAGGUCACUAUAAGUGACUCCGACUAAUGUGCUAGCAUAGAUGGUUGAGCUGGAGAAUCAGCCGUACAGGUCAUUCUAGUUGACUCCGGCUGAUAUAUUUCUGAGUAUGGACAAUGAUGCCAAAGAAAGUAAUGUUGGAACGUGAUAGAGGCGUAUAUGUGUAUUCUAAUGAAAAAAAAAAAUGAUAGUAUUACACCUUUGGGAAUUGUUGCUUACUUAUCGAGACAACGAUGAUUUAUCAGUAUUGCGGGCUGCAGACCGUAAUAUUAAUAACUCAUUCGUGGAUUCGUUAAGCAAGCAAACCGGUAUUUUAUUUUAUGUUAGUGUUGUACUUAUUUAGAAUGUUCAGUAAUAAUAAAGUAUGUAUUGGGUCAGUUAAUUUUAUUCCAUUAGAUUGAUUAUUUAUAGUUGUGACUAGAUGGAAUAUUACGGGAAACCAGUUACUUUCCAUCGAUCUGGAUGACCAGAGAUUACUUUUGUAAGUAUGCAAAAUGGAUUGAGUCAGGCCGUUAUUUAUGCUGUGAGAGCAAAGAGAUUGUUUUCGAAAGGCUGUCAAAAAUACUUAGCUCAUGUGGUGCUAAAUGAUGUUGUUUGGAGUAGUGUGAAUAAUGUCGAAAGAGUUAGACUUUUCUUGAUGUCUUCUCUGAAAGUAUACCUGGAUUGUCUUCAGGCAGAGAUAUGAGGUUCAUUAUUGAUUUGUUGCCAGGUAUAAAUUUAUGUUAAAGAUUGGUUCAUGAUGAGUUAAGGGAAUUGGAAAUUCAGUUGAGAGAAUUGGUUGAUAAAAGUUUUAUUCAACCUAGUACAACACUGUUGAGGAGCACCAGUUUGUUGGUGAGAAAGGAAAUGGACUUAGAGAUUGUUCAUUGAUUAUAGAUAAUGGAAUCGGGUAACGAAUGAGAACCGUUAUCCAUUGUGGUGUAUUGACGCUCAUUUGAUCAGUUCAAAGGUGCUUGUAUAUUUUCAAAGAUUGACUUGAAUACUGUUUAUUAUCAAUUGAAGAUUAUGAGUUAUUGGAUGAAGUAUUCCAAUAAUGCCUUGAUAAAUAGAUAUCAUUUUCAUUGAAGAUAUUCUGGCAUAUUCUGAGCCAGAGCAGAACAUGUAAACGUAUUAAGUCGGUGGAACAAAGAUUGGAAGAAUGUCGGUUGUAUGCUAAGUAGCAAAUGCUAAAGUUAGAUGAAUCAUGUGGCAUUCUGAGAAUUGUUAUAUAUUCUUAAGGUAUUCAAGUGAAUCCUUAAAAGAUAGCAGAAAUUGAGAAAUUGGAACAACCACAAGCCAUAAUUGAGAUUCGGAAAUUCUUAACUUAUCAGGCUAUUUUGGAUGGUUGUGAAAGAAUUUUUAGUCAUUGUUUUGUCAUUGAUGAGACUGUUGAGAAAGGAGGUUAUGUAUGAGUGGGAAGGAAAUUGUGAGCAAAGGAUUCAACAACUGAAGUAUUUCCUCACUCAUGCACGUAUUUUAGUAAUCCCAAAGAAUAAUGGUAAUCAUAAAUUUUUAGUGAUGUUUCUUGAAUGGUAUUGGAUGCAUGUUGAUGCAAAUGUUAGGGUGAUUGCAUACGUUUCACGACAAAUGGAAUCUCAUGAGAUGAAUUACCCUACUGGUGAUUUGGAAGUCACGAUUACCAUCCUUGCUGUGAAGUUAUGGAGACAUUCUAUGUUGAUAAGAAUGCAAGAUUUUACAAAUCAAAAGAGUCUCCAAUAUUUGUUUACUUGGAAGGAUUUUGAUAGGAGGCAGCGAAUGUGAAUUGUAUUGCUUAAUGAACAUGAUUGUACGAUCAGGGUGAUCGUAAAGUUUGUUCUAACUGAAGCACUUGGUGAGAAGACUACAAUAAGAUUAAUGUCUGGCACGUUUGCCAAGAGUAUCAUCUUGUGGAUUGAAACCAACGGAAGAAAAAUUAAGAAUGGAAGAUCGAGAAGAAGUUAUACUUGUUAAAUUUCAAGUUAGGCCUGUUUGGUAAGGUCGUACUUGAAACUUAAAUGCUUGACGAAGAAAUUUAAGAAUUAACCAAGGUAGAGAAAGAAGGUAAGUUAAAUCCUAAGUUAAUCGGACUUAAGUGAUUAUCGAAAAGUUGGUGAAGUUGCUUACAAGCUUGUGAUGCCCUCAGAAUUGGUUAAGGUGCAAAACAUAUUUUAUGAUUCGAUGCGUUGUCACUAGGUGGCAGAUUCGUCACAUAAGAUUCUGGUGUAACUAUUGAGAAUUAAAUUGGAUUCGACUUGAUAAGGAACCAAGGACGACUUUGGAUUGGAAAAAGAAGGUCCUGAGAAAUUAAGACAGAGUAAGUAGUAGUAAAAGCUUUGUGAAGGAAAUCAUUCAGUAGAAAAGUAUGUGGGAGAAAGAGAAUCGGAUGAGAAAGAUUUACCCGAAGCUAUUGUUGGAGUAUGGUUUGAUUUUAGUUGGUUGCUGGAAUUUCGGGGACGAAAUUCUAUAAGGAGGGAAGAUUGUCACAGCCCGUCCCGGAAUUUUAAUUCCGAGGACAUGAAAAGACGAAAAUGCCCUUAAACGGGACUAAGGGGCGAAAAUUUAACAAUUUGGAUUGAGUUGGACACGUGGGAUCCCCACACCCCUCAAUCCUCUCCCUAUUUUCUGCAUACUGUCUCUCUCUCCUCCCUCACGAAUCUCUCUCUCUCUGUCACUCUUCUUCUCCGUUCGAACAAACCAACCACAAAACAACCUUAAACUUCCACCAACGACGGAGUUAAGACUACCAUCGAACUCCUGGAGACUCCACGAUCACGUAGACACCAAUUUCAGGUAAGUUUUACUUCGGAAAACCUAGAUUCUAAACUCCCCGUGAAAGUGCACUGUUCAUGAUCUUCGAAUUGACUUUGUUUUAGGACAAUCCAAGCUCACAGUGAGCUUAGUGAGGUUCCAAGGAAGCUCGGAGUGCUUCGUUGGAAGUUUUUGGACGUAAGAACACGGAGAUCGAUAAGUUCAAAGUUUGGCCGGAGCUUUCGAGGCAUUUUCCGGCGAAUCCCCGGCGAGUUAGGCGUCGAGGUAGGUAUCAAUCUCUUUCGUCUCGUCAAGUACUACAAACUUUCCUUUUUGUUUCACUCAAUUUCGUUGAGUAUUGAAGAAGUUAUACUCAUUUGAAAAAUACCCAGUUUCCGGCGACCUCCGAGGCUUUCGAGGCAGUUUCCGGCCAAACUACGGCGAACUAGGUGUUGGGAAAGGUACCAUUCUCUUUGUCUCUUCAAGGGCUACAACUUUCGUUUUUGAAUCACUUGAUUUCGUUGAGAAAUGACAAAGUUAUGGUAAUUUGAAAAACUGCCCAGAAAACGGCCGCCGGAAAAACCAGUCCGGCGACCCAAGGAAGAAGAAGGUGCUACAGUAAAAAAAUAAAUAAAAAUAAAAUUAUUUUAAAAAUAUGUCGACGUCCGUGACGUCGAGUAGAUCACCGUGGUAUAUUCAUAUACCCAAAUUGAACACCGUAUGAGAAAGUUAUUGAAGAUUGUUGGUUAGGUGUUCAAAUAACGUUUUUAUAGUUUUCACAUUUAGGUGAAAAUGUGAAUUGAUGAUCCGACCGUUGGAUCGUCACCAAACUUUGAUACGUUGUAAUACGUAAUAUUUGAGGAUUAUUGGAACUUACGGAUUGGGAAUCCGAGUUACGGAUCUUCCGGAAUUGGAAUUUGUAAGUCCAUAAUAUAAAAUGUUAACCGUCACUUAGUUUUGGAAAUUGACGGAGAUCCGACCGUUGGAUGGUAAUGAAAUUUUAGGAUGUUGUCCUAGAGGUAUAAUGUGGACCUCUGGAAGUUAUGGAUUUAAAAUCUGAGUGGCAGAUCUUCCGGAUCGAUCUACGUAGUGACGUAUUUUAUAUAAGUUAUAUAUUCUAUCGAUAUGAAUUCUGAGGUUGGAUUUGAUUACUGUUCUAGGCGGCGAUCGUCAUGACGCCUUGAUGUGUGGUGCUAGGGAGUUGUUGGACGAACUCCAGGUGAGUGGGCAGUUUUGUUUUCCGUAUAUACAUAUAUAAUUGACGUUUCCCAGAAAUUGAAAAUGUUACGAAAGUAUGCUUUAAAUGCAAAGUAUAAAAAAGUAUGUUUUCAAAUGCCAUGAGUAGAUUAUAUGAAAGAUAUGAUUUGAGAUAUAUUAGUUGAAAUACCAUGCUUAGAAGUAUGUGAAAAGUAUAUAGAAAUGUGAAUCGAAAUGCCAUGCAUGAAAUGAUAUGAAAAGUAUGAAUUGAGAUAUGAUGCAUAUGUAUGAAUUGGUGCUGUGGACGCACAGGUGAGUAUCAGGUGAGUAUAUUACUGCUAUGAUGAUGUUGAGAGAUAUAUUGAGCUCAUAACCUGCACCUUGGUAUUAGUGCUUAUUAUUAUUCACCGCAUCGCAUGCUCACCUUGGAUCCAAGUAGAUGCUAGUCGUACAGACCACCGGGGGUGGUUCCGACAUGCCAGUCGUACAGACCAUUAGAGGGGUUCCGACUGGUAGGUGACCUUAGAUUAUGUGCACAGAUGAUUGAUGAGAAAAAGCACUAGAGCAUAUUAUUACACCAUUAAGUCGUACAGAUUACAUUAGGUAAUUCCGACUUAUGUGCAGUGUAGUGCCGUACAGGUCAUACUAGGUGACUCCGGCAUGGCCGAACAGGUCACAGUUGGUGACUCCGGUUAUAUGAGAUUUUGAGCUCUACAUUCAGCCGUACAGGACCAUUGUAGGGUCUCCGGUUGAUUUCUUUCUUGCACCUGAUAUGAUUAUUGCUGAUGCAUUCAUACUUAACUGUUGAAUUUAGACAUGGCAUGGCAUGAUUGAUAAAGAUAAAUGUUGAGAUAGUAAAAAUGAAGUUUUGAUAAUAUAUAUGUAUAUUUAUAUUUUACAUUUCUGGGAAAGUAUACAGGUUUUACGGAGAGGGGUUACAACGUUUUGAGAAAUGUUUGGAUUUGGAAAAGAAUUGUUUUACUGACCCACUCAAUUUUGGUUUUGCGCCCCUCCAGGUUCAUGAAUCACAAAGGUGUGGUGACUACGAGGAAUUCGACGGUGUUCUGACAGAUUGGACAAAAUUAGGACUCACUUUCGGGUGUAUCAACUUAGGAAUUGUAUCUUAAAGCUUCCGUACUGUGCAAAUGGUUACGUCACUCUCACGUGACGGCCAGCAUGCCCUCCUUCGGGACGGGGUGUGUCACAAAUAAUUCAAAACCUGUCUCUAACUCUCUGAUCCAAUGAUCCAAAUAAUUAAGUAAUGUUAACAAUUACAUGUUAAUUUUUUUUAAGUAAUUAAGUAAUGUUAACAAUCACCAUGUUUUAUAUUAGGAUUAUUUUAUUAUCAAAUUGGAUUAUUCAUUAAAUUGGAUUAUUAUCAAAUUUGAUUAUUAUUCAUCACCAUGUUUUAUAUUAGGAUUAUUUUUUUAUGAAAUUGGAUUAUUAUUCAUUAAAUUAGAUUAUUAUUCAUUAAAUUGGAUUAUUAUCAAAUUGGAUUAUUAUUCAUCACCAUGUUUUAUAUUAGGAUUAUUUUUUUAUGAAAUUGGAUUAUUCAUUAAAUUGGAUUAUUAUCAAAUUGGAUUAUUAUUCAUCACCAUGUUUUAUAUUAGGAUUAUUGUACUAAUUCAUUAUAUAUAAAUUAUUAUGAUGUGUUUAGACUUCUUUCAUUAAUUACUACAUAUUUUCUACAUUCACAAUGUUUGUCAGCUAGCUAUAUAAUCAACUUGAUAAUGCUAAAUCCAUCAUGCAAUGCAUUUCUUUCCAAUUUUUUGUGAUAAACUAAUAGAUAAUUGACUAAAU